UUAGAGUUGAUUUCCCUGCUCAGGAUGAACGCUGGCGGCGUGCCUAAUACAUGUAAGUCGAACGGGGAGCGAGCAAUUCGUUGUGAGCUCUUAGUGGCGAACGGGUGAGUAACACGUUGGUGACCUGCCCCGAAGCGGGGGAUAACAGCUCGAAAGGGCUGCUAAAACCGCAUAAGCUCUACCAUGUUAGAGGAGGUAGAGGAAAGGCUACGUGAGUAGCUGCUUUGGGAGGGGCCUGCGGCCCAUCAGCUAGUUGGCAGGGUAACGGCCUACCAAGGCGAAGACGGGUAGGGGGCCUGAGAGGGCGAUCCCCCACACUGGCACUGAAACACGGGCCAGACACCUACGGGUGGCAGCAGUAGGGAAUAUUGCACAAUGGGCGAAAGCCUGAUGCAGCAACGCCGCGUGCGCGAUGAAGGCCUUCGGGUUGUAAAGCAGCUUCUCGGGGGGAUGAGAAGACAGAC
rnacentral:rRNA from 1 species